rnacentral:rRNA from 1 species
GUGCCAGCAGGCCGCGGGCGGGUGGUCCAGCGUGACGCCAAUGGCCGUGCGUUGCGCAUGAUCGGCACGCGCCGUGAUAUCAGCGAGCUGCGCAGCCGGGCCGAGCAGCAGCGCCUGGCCGCCACGGUGUUCGAGGCCGCCAGCGAGGGCAUCGUGAUCAUGGACGAUCGCUACCGUGUCCUGGCGGUGAAUGACGCCUGCUGCACGCUGUCCGGCUACAGCCGCGAGGAACUGCUCGGCCACAGCGUGGCGCGUAUCGCCGGCUCGCCGGAGAGCCAGCGGCAGUACGAGACCAUGCGCGAGGCGCUGGAGCAGCACGGUCACUGGCAGGGCGAGCUGAUCGAGACGCGCAAGAGCGGUGAGGUCUAUGGCCAGUGGGUGCAGCUGCGCGAGGUGCGUGAUGCCAACGGCAGCGUCACCCAUGUGGUCGCCUUCGUCUCCGACCUCAGCGUGCGGCGCAAGAUCGAGGAGCGUUUGCGCUACCUGACCCAUUACGACGAUCUCACCGGGCUGGCCAACCGCGGCCUGCUGGCAC